rnacentral:rRNA from 1 species
CCUACGGGAGGCUGCAGUGGGGAAUAUUGGACAAUGGGCGAAAGCCUGAUCCAGCCAUGCCGCGUGUGUGAAGAAGGCCUUCGGGUUGUAAAGCACUUUCAGUGGGGAAGAAAGCCUUGGGGCUAAUACCCUCGAGGAAGGACAUCACCCACAGAAGAAGCACCGGCUAACUCCGUGCCAGCAGCCGCGGUAAUACGGAGGGUGCGAGCGUUAAUCGGAAUUACUGGGCGUAAAGCGCGCGUAGGCGGUCUGAUAAGCCGGUUGUGAAAGCCCCGGGCUCAACCUGGGAACGGCAUCCGGAACUGUCAGGCUAGAGUGUAGGAGAGGAAGGUAGAAUUCCCGGUGUAGCGGUGAAAUGCGUAGAGAUCGGGAGGAAUACCAGUGGCGAAGGCGGCCUUCUGGACUGACACUGACGCUGAGGUGCGAAAGCGUGGGUAGCAAACAGGAUUAGAUACCCCGGUAGUC